UGCGCAGGCGGCAAGGCAAGUCGAGUGUGAAAGCCCCCGGGCUUAACUUGGGAAUUGCGCUCGAAACUACUUUGCUGGAGUGUGGCAGAGGAAGGUGGAAUUCCACGUGUAGCGGUGAAAUGCGUAGAGAUGUGGAGGAACACCAAUGGCGAAGGCAGCCCUCUGGGCCAACACUGACGCUCAUGCACGAAAGCGUGGGGAGCAAACA
rnacentral:rRNA from 1 species